rnacentral:lncRNA from 1 species
UCAGACUUUAAGCUCAAAUAUAAGUGCGAAUUACAGGCAGCAUCAAUUGUGAACAACAAGGCUAAAAUUUGCACAGAGAAUAUGUUGUCGCAAGUUUAAAACAUAUGUUUUUUCCCGUUUCAGCACAAAACUUGGAAAAUACACAGUCGGAUUGAGGAGAAAACAAGUCUAUAAGAUUAGUUCUAUCAAUUGUUCAUUAUUCUAUUAGCAACUAAAAUAGAGAGAUGGAUAGAUAUAUAGAGAAACAAUACCUAAUCAGACCCCCCAAACAUCGUGAGGCAAUAUAAAAUGUCUGAAAAAAUAUAGUUCUCUGAAAUAUUGCAAGGGAGCCCCAAGACAUUGACAUUCUAAAUUGCUUAGAGCUUAAAUGCUUAAUACAAUCAUGCUUCUCCAUUUUGAGCCAAUCCACCUAACGUGGACUACUUCAUUAAUACAUGCAAUCAUUCUAGAUAGCCUGCAAAAUAAGAAGUAAAAGUCAGUAAAUAUUGUACAAAUAAAUUUUUUAGUUGGAUUGAAAGGCUCAAAUUAAAAAUCAACAAAUAUAUGCAGGGUUAUUUCAUACUGCUAGUUUAUUGGGCAACAUUAAUCUCCUUGUCGGCAUAUAAUGUAUAAUCCAAAAUCAUAUUACCAAUUUUGGGGCAACUUUAUACUACUUGCGAAUAUAAAGAAUAUGAUUAACUAACAAAUAUUGGAUUGUAACAGAUGUGAAAAAAAAUACUUCUAUGCUUCAGCGAAUCAUAUGGUGUGAGUAUCGUCUGAAAGCUUUUAGGAUAAAUAUAAGGAUAGAAGGCUGUUUUGUUCAAGGAAACAGAAUGACUCUCCUUACACCAAGUCUAAGUUCAUCAUCAUUCAUCAUUGUUACAUGUAUAAAACGGGGAAAUACACAAUGAAUAAGAGGAAUAAGGAUAAAGAGCUGUUAACUUCACCGCACUGUUCAUCACACUGGAGCAGCCACACACUUGUACCCGGCACUACUGCGUGUCAAUGCAGAUUAGAGAGAUAUAUAGUUUAGGAUCCAGAGAUGGAAGAAGAUACCUGGGCCGACACUGCUCUCGUUGAUUCAAAAAUCCCUAGGACCAUCCCCAGUAGCGGGCCCACUCAUCCUCUUCAAGGCUGCCUACCGCCUCGCGCUACUCCUUUUCUCGCUUAUCUCCACCGGCGCUCACCUUUCCGCUGGUGCCAUCCAUCAUGCCCUUCGUCUGACAACAAAAAUAAUUUGUUGUGAAUAUAUAUUGCCAAUUAGGCAUGAACAAUCAUUGCAAACUCAAAAUUCGAUUACUGUAAAAGAAGGAGCUCGAUAUCAGGUUACUUGAUCUUUCGUAGAGAAAAACAAAAUACUAAACCAAACUUUGCUAGAACAGCAGGAGAUCAGCCCAAAUAGCUGCUCCAUCACCAUAUGCAUAUUUAUAAGAUAAUUAAAUAUUCUGAUUCAUCUCCAUGGGCAUCAAGUUUCAUUAUAAGGGUUCAGAUUUAUUUUAGGGCAGAGAGACUUUAGAUGGUUUCUAUCUCCCUAAAUUCUAACCCCAAUGUGCAUCUAUGUCCCUGUUUCUUACAUCCUCACUCAUCGACCAGAUCAAGAAGAAGCACCCAGAUCAUGAUUCAAGUAUUUUAAAUUCAAAAGACAAAAAAUUAACAUCAAAAUAAUCUCGAAUAACAAUGGCACCACCAAUACCAAAAUUGAGAAGUACGCUAGAUGGUCUCUCCGAAUUUGUGAGAUUUCCAUAUAUCUAGAUCUUAUGUACACGGGCUCAUGUCUAGAUCACUUUCAUCAAAUACUCAUCAUCAACUUAAAACUCCGCCUAUGUCUUCUAGGCAUAGCCGGUUCCAAGCCCGGGUAAAGGAGGAGGGUUGUGAAAGGCUUGGCGAGCCAACGUAAAAACUAGCCAGUCCCAUAGGUAUGAAACCCAUUUGAGCGAGAAUAGUACUAGGAUGGGUGACCUCCUAGGAAGUCCUCGUGAAAGGGUUUCAUAUCUAAGGGUUGUGAUAGGCUUGGCGAGCCAACGUAAAAACUAGCCAGUCUUUUGGGUAUGAAACCCAUUUGGGCGAGAGUAGUACUAGGAUGGGUGACCUCCUGGGAAGUCCUCGUGAAAGGGUUUCAUAUCUAGCCUACCCCAACUUGUUUGGGAUAAAAGGCUUCGUAAGUAAGUACUCAUCAUCAACUUAACUUGGAUAGUUGGUCACAUGUGCCAUGGAUAGUUGGCCACAUGUGCCAUGUAGUACGUCUAGAUCACUUGUUAGGCGUAUUUAGGACUGCUCUCAAUGUACAGGUAGCCACUCCUAUAUGUACAGGUACCUCACCGUACCGCUUCUCACCGUACAGGUAGCCCCCUCACUACACAGCAGCCGAUCACACAAGCCGCUUGUCCCCACCACGGCGUUGCUCUGCCGACCUCCUCUCCCGUCAGCCUCCACAGCCUCGUGCCCAUGUCCUCUCCCCACCAUGGCCUCACGCCACCCCGCCAUGGUCCCGCCCCACAACCAACUUCGUCGGUAUCACAGAGAUCGAUGUCGUUGCUGGCGUCCAUCCUCGGCGACGACGACCUGGCAUGGCUCUAGGCCAAGGCGGUUGCCGAGGCAAAGAAUCUCUGCCUGGCCGCCUAGAAGGGCAUGCAGCUGGCGGCCAAGCUGCCGUCCAAGCACACUCCACCUGUGGUCUUCCUGCAGGUCGUAUUAUGGCUGAAGAUACUAAAGAUACCAAAGAUAAACGUAGAAACUUUAAAAAGAUCAUCUCAACAAGGUAUGCAAGUAAUUUCUUUUGGGUGUUUGAAUUGCCACAUCUUGGAUUUUGUUUUCAGUCCAUUAUAUAUUCUAGGGACAAACUUCAUCUCAUUUCAUAGACCAAAUAAUAUUUAACUACAGGACCAGAUUCGCGUAAACUAAUUUGCAAGGUUUAUUCGAUUUUGUGCAUGACAAGGGGCAAGUAGAAUUUUUUCUGUAUGCACUUAGCAAGAUUAAAGUAACAGGCACAAAGUGAAUCAAGUGUCUUAACAAGCAAUUUAAAAGUGAAAGUAGAUAAACAACUUACUAAUCCACAUAGAAGAGUGUUGAGUAUUGAAAUUUGAUUUGCCGCAUUGCAAUGGUCCGCUAUGGUCCUGCAGUAAUAUGUGUAUGACAGCAAAAGGAUUUUCAAAUUAGCAUGUACACUAACUUAUCCAUUAUAAUUCGAUAUAUUAUAUGAGAUAACUUGAACAUCUCUAGAAAUCAGUGUGGAAUAAAUAUAACAACCAAAUCGCACGUGUGGAUUUUCAUAUGCACAUUCCCAGACGCUACAAACUUGAUCAGAGCCGAGAGCAAGGAAAUGCAUAUCACAGUUUCAAUGACCGCUAGGAGAACCCUCUCCACAUCGGCGUGUUGAGAGACUUGAGAUAUUAAUUUUGCAGGCACUCCACACAAGCACAUGCAUGUUAUGUUAGCAGAGUAGAAGAGCCAUCAUCUUAAGUUAGGGUAUACAUUAUCAUUUUGGGUAUGAUCAAAUGGAAAUACCUGCUCAUGUCGUCCUCUGAUCCACUCAUCCAAAUCAUCCUACAAAGCUCAUGCAUAAUGGUUUAAGAAAUAAAGUAUAUAUGCUCAAAGGACGAGAUUGAUAGCUAACAAAUAGUUGAUGCUUACAAUUAGCUUGUGGUCUCCUCCUCCAACAUGUGUUUCCUGUUUGAGCGUUGUGAAAGGUCAGGAGGUCCAGGCAGGUCAAGGCGAUGGCCACCUUCAACUUUGGCAAUGCAAACCCCCUCUCGAUGGCCCUCUCCACAACAUCAUCCAUCCGCGUGUUGAGAGACUUGAGCUAUUAAUUUUGGAGGCACUCCACACAAGCACAUGCAUGUUAUGUUAGCAGAGUAGAAGAGCCAUCAUCUUAAGUUAGUGUAUACAUUAUCAUUUUGGGUAUGAUCAAAUGGAAAUACC